CUUUGUAGCUGAAUUAUUAUGACUCCGCUACAGAAGUGAUUUCUACCUCCAGCCAUGAGUCGACAGCUUUAGUAAUAGCCAUGCCCACGGUCAAAAGAAGAUAUCCUGUGUGUUGGCCACCGUCCACCGGCUCUCCUCGCCUCAGCUGGCUACGGAGGUGACGCUGUAGUUUGGAUCGUGCCCUCUGGCUGUGUCUGCCGCAGGAUUCACACGAUGCAUCCCACCGACUGCGCCGGCGGCGGAGGCAAGUGCUGCUUGGGAAAACCGUAGAGACAACGAGUAUACCCCAGCUUUUCCAAAAUCUUUGCAAAAGGAGCAUCGGAAAAGUAUUUAAGAUAGAUUGAAAUGGUUGGCUUUGACUUUUAUGGGGUUACUUCUGGCAUAUACUUAUUUUACAGAUUAUAAACAUAAUCUGAAGUGUUCUUCUAAAGGAAAACAGAACUGGUUUUGUUCUGAAAAUGCUAAAACAGCCUCUUUUAGAGACUUGCUGGACUUCUUUACUAAAGCGCUGCUCCAAACUGAAACCUUAGUAAAAGCCAUCAUUCAGCAGCCUGCUUUGCAUUUCGGUAGACUCAAGUUUUCCAGUGUAAAAUGUUUCCAUCUUUCUUUGACUAGCUGUGCUGAAAGACAUCAGAGGUGAUAUCUGAUACCAAUAGCGACCUUGAGAGGCUGUAAAGGGGCAGCUCUAAUAAAUACAUAUUGGUACAUGACAGCUGGCUAAGAAAAAGGCAAAGGUGGUGCGCUUAUAAUUUCAACACAGCAACAGGGGGAUAUCUUGCUGUGUCAAUGUGAUGUAUUUUAUUCAUUUAACAUUACUCAUUACAGAAAAGUAAUACCAAACUGUGUCAUUUAAGUAAUACUUAAAUUCUUUUGCAUUUAAGCAAGCUUGCAGUGAACAUGUAAUUUUUUUUUUUUUUUCUUCCUUUUGCUUUCUCAGCUGCAGCCACAAGCCGUAAAGCCGUAUUGCUACAGGCUCACAUGGCUGGGCUGGGGUCUGGAGCAGCAACUCUCAUUUCCAGUGGGGCUCAAGGCAGGAGUUAACACUGGGAUGUCAUGAACGCCCCAGCACACAUCACAGCUCUGUGCUGUACAGGGUGGUUUUAUAAAUGAUCUGUACAAUGUCAGUUUGGGUUUUACUUACAAAAAAGACUAUGCUUAUGUGUUUUUGGAAAAACAUGAAUUAGUCAUUUCUCAGUUUGCAGUCAUAACUAAUCAUCCCUCUCCCUCUGCUUUUAAUCCCUGAGUCUGUAGAUGCAGAUUAUUGAUUUUUCAGCAUCUUAAAAGAAAUCCCUUAAAUUGGUGACAGCA